AAACAUUGACAAAAUUAGGGUUCCAAUUAAGGAAUCAAGUCGACGGAACAAGAGAAGAGAGAGCCAGAGAAUAGUUCU
rnacentral:sRNA from 1 species